AUUUCAAUUCAAUUUUAUUUAUAGUAUCAAACCAUAACAACAGUUAUCUCAAGACACUAUACAUAUAGAGAAGGUCUAGACCACACUGUGAUUUAUAAAGUCCCAGCAGUUCUAGUAAAUCCCCCCAGAGCAAGCAUGGUGCGACAGUGGGACCAUGCAGAGUGGCGAGGAAAAACUCCCUUUUAGGAAGAAACCUCGACCAGACCCAGGCCCUUGGUGGGCGGUGUCUGAUGGGGCCGGUUGGGGAUGUGAUGCACGGGGUCAAUGGUAGUCACAUGAAUA